rnacentral:lncRNA from 1 species
CAUGUCUGUCAUCGAGUAUCUGAAACAUUACUUUGACUGGUCUGAUUUGCAGCGUCAGUUCAACAGACGCGAUGUGGAAAUGGAAUUGACUGGGUUGAAAGUCACUGUCACUCACCGGAAGAACAAACAGAAACUCACCAUUGUAGGACUGAGUAGGAAAGACACUAAAGACGAAGGAUUCGAGCUAAUCGAUGAAAAGGGGAAUGAGCCGCCGAGGAAGACGUCCAUUGUUGAGUAUUUCAGGAUUAAGUAUGGAAAAGACAUUGUUCACAAGAACAUUCCCUGCUUGGAUUUGGGUAAAAACGGACGGCAAAACUUGGUGCCCAUGGAGCUGUGCAUUUUGGUUGAAGGACAGGUUUACCCAAAGGAACGCUUGGGUAGAAAUUCAGCCUUGUGGUUGAAAACGCUGUCACUAGUGAAUCCACAGCAAAGGCGGAGGAAUAUACUCAAGAUGAUAGAGUCCAAUGAUGGUCCUAGCGGUGGAGAGAUUAUUGGCAACUUUGGGAUGAAAGUCGAUACAGAGAUGACACCUGUGGUAGGUCGUGUUCUCAAGGCUCCGGCGUUGAAGUUGGCAGAGAGGGGCAAACCUGUCCGUGAGGAACCGGGACGUAACAAUCAAUGGAACCUUAUGAAGAAGGGAGUCACGAGGGGUUCAGUAGUCAAGCAUUGGGCUGAUAUAUAUAUAUUAAUCUGAAUAUAUAUUAAAUGUAAUUUUUACUCAUAUGCUUUGAUGAUCAUUUGUAUCUUAUUAUAACAAAAAUUCAAACUAUUAAUCACAAAAUUUUUAAUACGAGACUUUUAAUAUUUAUGUAAUUUAGUGCUUUAAAAAUAUAAUAUAUACAAAAAAAUUAAUUUUUUAUUAUAUGAUUAAUAUAAUUGUUUAAUUAUUUUAAUAAUAUAACAUUAAACGAAAAUUAAAAUAUAAUUGUUUACUUUUUUUGUUUUGUUCGAGGAACAUUCGGGAACGUUGAGAAGUCAUUCUCAUACUCCUUACGAGCUAAGCUAAACUUGUGUCACACACACUUUUUCCUUGUUUUUUUUUUUUUUUUUUGAACUGAACACUUUUUCCUUGUUCCAUUAUAAAAAGACCUCUCUCUCUCUCUCUCUCGGAAUCAGUUAGUUAAAAGCGAUCACAUAAGAAAGUUUCCUCUAUUCAUCAAAUCUUUCCGAGUUUUUCCCGAUCAUAUCCAAUCAACAUGGAGAGAGGUCGUUACCGUGGAGGUCGUGGAGGUGAUGGCCGUGGCAGAAGCGGCGGAGAUCGCGGUCGUGGCUAUGGAGCUGGCGGCGGAGGAGAUCGAGGUCGUGGUUAUGGAGCUCGCGGCGGCGAUUUUGGAAAUCGUGGACAGAGUUCCGGUGGAAGUGGUGGUGGAUACGAUCGGAAUCAAGAGGAAGUCCGAAGCCAGAGUCAGUGGGGACCACCGCCGGGUCACGGUGGCCGUGGGGCACAGUCGCAGCAACAGGCGGUCCAACAACCGCCACAGGCUCAAGUGAGUCAACCAGGAGGCGUCGGCAGAGGCGCGUGGGGUCGUAAGCCACAGAUUUCUUCAGAUACGGCGGCGGCUGUCCCGCCUUCUUCUCCGUCAACCGUCUCAGUUUCUGAAACGGCUCGUGGUAUGCAGAAUAAAACCUAAUUUAUAGCAAUUUUUUUACACGGUUCCUGUAGCAAUGAUUGGAACGUGAUUUACAUUAACCGUUUCUAUUUGAAUUAGUCAAUAGCUUUUGAUGAAUGUUUCUUUUGAUUAACAAUCAGUUUCAUGUUUUUAAUUUGAAAUGACGAAUCCGGAAGAAGCUUCUUCUUCUUCUUCGGUUCAAGUUGCUUCUACCGAGAGGAAAACACCAAUGAGACGUCCUGAUAAAGGCGGUGUUGUUGCUGUGCGUCGUGUAAACCUCUUGGUCAACCACUUCCGAGUCCACAUUGAUCCCGAAACUGUCAUUAAGCAUUACGAUGUUGACAUCAAACCAGAAAUUUCCACUAAGAAGAUAUCUAGGUUCGAGCUUUCCAUGGUCAGGGACAAGCUGUUCACCGACAAUCCCGGCGAGUUUCCACUCGCCAUGACCGCCUAUGAUGGUCAGAAGAAUAUCUUCAGCGCAGCGCAACUGCCUACUGGUUCUUAUAAGGUGGAUUUUCCCGAGACGGAAGAGACGAGAGCUCGAAGCUAUACGUUCACCAUCAAGCAGGUGAAUGAGCUCAUGCUCCGUGACUUGAGAGAGUACAUGACAGGGGGCUCGUCUCUCAACCCUCGUGAUGUACUUCAAGGGAUGGAUGUUGUGAUGAAGGAGCAUCCUUCAAAGUCUAUGAUAACCGUCGGUAAAAGCUUCUUCACCCGCGAGACUAAGAGCGAUGAUGAUGACUUAGGUUUCGGUCUUGCUGCUGCCAAAGGAUACAGACACGCUCUGAAGCCGACAGCGCAAGGUUUAUCCUUGUGCUUGGACUACUCGGUGUUGGCGUUCCGGAAGUCCAUGUCUGUCAUCGAGUAUCUGAAACAUUACUUUGACUGGUCUGAUUUGCAGCGUCAGUUCAACAGACGCGAUGUGGAAAUGGAAUUGACUGGGUUGAAAGUCACUGUCACUCACCGGAAGAACAAACAGAAACUCACCAUUGUAGGACUGAGUAGGAAAGACACUAAAGACGAAGGAUUCGAGCUAAUCGAUGAAAAGGGGAAUGAGCCGCCGAGGAAGACGUCCAUUGUUGAGUAUUUCAGGAUUAAGUAUGGAAAAGACAUUGUUCACAAGAACAUUCCCUGCUUGGAUUUGGGUAAAAACGGACGGCAAAACUUGGUGCCCAUGGAGCUGUGCAUUUUGGUUGAAGGACAGGUUUACCCAAAGGAACGCUUGGGUAGAAAUUCAGCCUUGUGGUUGAAAACGCUGUCACUAGUGAAUCCACAGCAAAGGCGGAGGAAUAUACUCAAGAUGAUAGAGUCCAAUGAUGGUCCUAGCGGUGGAGAGAUUAUUGGCAACUUUGGGAUGAAAGUCGAUACAGAGAUGACACCUGUGGUAGGUCGUGUUCUCAAGGCUCCGGCGUUGAAGUUGGCAGAGAGAGGCAAACCUGUCCGUGAGGAACCGGGACGUAACAAUCAAUGGAACCUUAUGAAGAAGGGAGUCACGAGGGGUUCAGUAGUCAAGCAUUGGGCUGUUCUUGACUUCACUGCCUCUGAGAGGAACACCAACUCCAGGAUGGCUGACAACUUUGUGGGCCUGCUUAUUAAUCGUUGUAAGACACUUGGGAUGCAGCUGAGGGAUCCCAUCAUUUUCAAAUCAGCAAGAAUGAAUUUGCUUUCUAAUGCUAAUGCUCUCGAGGAUUUGCUUCGACAAGUGAUUGACGAGGCUAAGCAUAACCAUGGUGGGGCUCGCCCAACUCUUGUUCUGUGUGCUAUGUCUGGGAGGGUUGAUGGCUACAAGACUCUCAAAUGGAUAGCCGAGACCAAGCUUGGUCUGGUGACUCAGUGUUUCUUGACCAAUUCCGCCAGUAGAGGAGGUGACCAGUAUCUGGCAAAUCUCGCCCUCAAGAUCAAUGCAAAAGUUGGCGGAAGUAAUGUUGAGCUGAUGGAUAGUGGCUACUCUUUCUUCAAAAGAGAGGACGAGGUCAUGUUCAUUGGUGCUGACGUCAACCAUCCUGCUGCUCGAGACACGACGAGCCCCUCCAUUGUUGCUGUUGUGGGCACUCUAAACUGGCCUGAAGCUAACCGUUACGCAGCUAGAGUCAUUGCACAGCCUCGCCGGAAAGAGGAGAUUCAAGGAUUUGGUGACACGUGCUUUGAGCUUGUUAAAGCUCAUUAUCAGGUCACAAGGAAACGGCCUAACAAGAUUGUUAUCUUCCGUGAUGGUGUCAGUGAUGGUCAGUUCGACAUGGUUCUUAAUCGUGAGUUGCUUGAUGUGAAGCUUACUUUUGAGAGGGACA